UUUUCUUUUUUUUGCAUAUAUAUGUUACUCACAUGCACAAGCACGCGGGGAAGGCAGUGCUGAGGAUGGGGUCAGGGAGUGAGUAGAGGUGAGUCGUAAUGCAGUGAUCAGCAAGAUGAUGGAAGAGAAGGGUGAUGCGAAAGCUGUUGCGGCGAAAUCUAAGGAGUUGGUGGGGGCCGGUUAUAGCAUCAAGGGCAACGGGGAAGUAGGGCUUGGGAGCAGGCU
rnacentral:lncRNA from 1 species